rnacentral:misc_RNA from 1 species
CCGAGUUUCCAAAAACUCCCAACCCAUGUGAACCUUACCUCUCGUUGCCUCGGCGGGAUGCCCCGGGAGCCCCCUCGCGGGCCCCGGACCCAGGCGCCCGCCGCAGGACCCCCCAACUCUUGUUUAGCGGAAGCAUCUUCUGAGUGAGAAAAACAAAUAAAUCA